UGAAACAGUGUGGAUGGCAAACUUUGGA
rnacentral:piRNA from 1 species